UACGAAGGGUGCAAGCGUUGUUCGGAAUUACUGGGCGUAAAGGGUUCGUAGGCGGGAAUGUAAGUUGAAUGUGAAAACCCCGGGCUUAACCUGGGACGUGCAUCCAAAACUGCGUUUCUUGAGUGUCUGAGAGGGUCGUGGAAUUGCUGGUGUAGGAGUGACAUCCGUAGAGAUCAGCAGGAACACCGGAGGCGAAAGCGACGACCUGGCAGAACACUGACGCUGGAGGAACGAAAAGCGUGGGGAGCAAACAGG
rnacentral:rRNA from 1 species